UUUUGUCUACUGUCUAUCCUGAAAAUGCCCAAUCCUGUCUGACCUUGGAAGCUAAGUAGGGCCAGGCCUAGUUAGUACUUGGAUGGGAGAAAU
rnacentral:rRNA from 1 species